rnacentral:piRNA from 1 species
UUCAGCGACAUCAGUGCUUUGAC